CUGGGUAUACUUUGCUACAGACGGAAUUCUGAUGAGGAUGUUCUUAGUUUUUCUUACAUAAUCUGCUUCUUUUCAAUAAGUCUGUCUGUGAUUACAGUGGCAGCCAACAAUACAUAGUGACUCAAUGAGCUACCACGCAGAUGACUCAUCAGAUCUGCUAAGGUGACUGCAAGGCCAUCAAGACCUACAGGUUUCUGUCAGCCUAAUGACGAGGUGAGUGAUCACAGACAGCGCUUCUAAUUUGCAGUUGAUGCUGUCAAGACAGCACAUACUUUGAGAUUUUAUCACCUUCUGGACAACAGUCUGAGGGAACAAUAAGGAGAGCACGUGACAUUGGACUGUGAUGUUACUCUCCCUUUGACAUGCAGAAGAGCUGCAGCAGUGCAUCUCAAGAUCUGAAGUACAAUUUGUACUUUGAAAACACCCAAGGAUUCAGUUCCGUAUAUCUAAUUUUCCCCAUUUGAAAACCAGAGAUGUUACUUUUCCAAUGAAAUAAUUGAUUAAAUCCUUAAGGAUUAAGGAACAGAAAUGACAA
rnacentral:lncRNA from 1 species